rnacentral:rRNA from 1 species
UACGUAGGGAGCAAGCGUUGUCCGGAAUCAUUGGGCGUAAAGCGCACGUAGGCGGCCCUGUAAGUCCGCUGUAAAAGUCAAAGGCUCAACCUUUGAAAGCCGGUGGAUACUGCAGGGCUAGAGUCCGGAAGAGGCGAGUGGAAUUCCUGGUGUAGCGGUGAAAUGCGCAGAUAUCAGGAAGAACACCCGUGGCUAAGGCGGCUCUCUAGUACGGUACUGACGCUGAGACGCGAAAGCGUGGGGAGCGAACAGG